UUUUAGGAGGAACUUGCAGACAAUAUCUCACAGCUUAUCCAUGUGAUUCAGAAUACAGAGGCUCGAAACCUGUUCAUUCAGACAUUUUGGCAAACUAUGAACCGUGAAUGGAAUGGGAUAGACAAUCUACGUCUUGAUAAGUACUACAUGCUAAUGCGUAUGAUUUUGAGGCAAUCCUUUGAAGUGCUGAAAAGAAAUGAAUGGGAUGAAAGGUAA